ensembl:lncRNA
CUGAGCCUGGGAGCAGAGCCUCCAGCCCAGCAGUGCCAGGGGGGGCUCAUUGCUCAGGCAGCAGCAGAGCCCACCUCCAGCAGUGCAGGGAAGUUCUCCGGGCUGAACUCGGAGCAGCGGCAGGCAGCCGGGAGGGAGCAGAGUGUUUCCAUAGUGCCUCGGCUCUCCUGCGUGCUGCGUGCUCUCUCUCCUCGCUUCUCAUUAAAGAUCCUUUCUGGGUGUGUGGCUGAAAUGGCUGCUGUGUUGUAGAAAAUUAAACAUGUAUGGCUUGGGAUUUCUUGUUGCGCUGCAGAUGGUGUCGGCAGUGUAAGGUGCUGGGGGGGGGGAAGGGGCGGCCGCGAGGAUCCCAUUUCUGCCUGUGGUGCACCAUGGUGGGUGCCACCAGAUUUAACAUCGUACGAGAUGCACUCCAGCACCCAACAGCAGAGGCACCACGGGCCCUGCAAUUCACCCAGCUGCUAUUGUGCCUAUGUAAAGUGAUGCCCUGAGGUCCCAGGGGGCCCUGGCACCUCACUCCGGACACAGCUGUCACCACCUUGCUGCCCUCACCCUGCAGGAGGCUCGCAGGACAGCUGCGCUGCUGACACAGAGGAAAUCUACCACCGUUGUUUGUGUCGGACCUGAACAAAACAGCGCGGGGCACGUUUGUGUCCUGCUGCCAUCCCUGAGUGCUGGGAACACCGAGGUUGGGGCAGGCAGCGCUGGGGCAGGGACUGCUGCACCCACAGGGACGACGAAGUUGGGCAGGUCCAGCCUUGCAGAGCUUGGGGACGGAGGGGGGACAACCUGGGCACAGGGGGGCGGGGGUGGGACACCCACACAGCCCACCACGCACUGCCCCACAUCCCUCACCGCAGCGCUCAGCAUCGCCCAAAGAGACAGAGCAGCCCCCACCCCUGUGCCCCACCGCUGCCAGUGCUGCAGGCAGACUCACUGGCUGCAAUUAGGACACGGGAAUGAGGCACUGUGCGGAGAUGCAGAGCAGGAGCUCCCCAUGCACCAAAGGCUCCUCCUGCAGCCCGUUUCCCCAGCUUACCCCACUGCAUCAGCCCUGAGCGCAGUGGGGUUGGGCUGGAGCUGCACAGCAGGGCUCUGUGUCACCACGGGUGGCACAGCCCCAAUGCCCAUCUCCACUCCACACCCUCUGGGCUUCCGUGUGAGCAUCACAAGGGAGGUUAACCCGGCCACCCUGGCACAGGCAGUGGCUCAGGGUAUGGGAGCCUUCCCCUGAGCCCACCCUGAGGCUGCUGAGCCCAUCCUGAGUCCAGGGCUGAGGCUGCUGUUCCCAGAUGGAGCAGCCUCAGGGCUCCCAGCCCCACCAGCCAAGCACCCCAUGCACUUCUCUGUUCCCCCCAUGACCACUGCAGACAGUGCUGGGAAUAAAAGAGAGGUUUGGGAGUCGGGACAGCCCUGCACAGAGGACAGGUGCAGGGUGGGCAAGGAGGGUCCCCCCAAAGCAACAGCACCACAGGGAAUGAGGAGCGGGAGGCAAGAGUGGGAAAACUGCUGUAAGAAGAGAAGGAGCUGGGAUGGCCGCCCCAGAAAGGAGACUAAUAAGAAGGGGCCCAGAUGAAAGGCUGAGCCAUCCCGAAGAGUCUGCAGAAAGAAAGCAGCACUUCUGCUCCUUUCAUCUCACAGCUUCAGGGCAGCGGAAAGUGCAGUGGAACCUGGAGCUGAGAAAGGAAAUGCUCCUCAUGUCGCCCCUUAUGAGCUGAUGCCACUCACAAGGGAAGGCAGAGAGGGCUGGAGCUCAGCGAGUUGCCAGCCAGGUCUGGAUGCUCCUCUCCUUCCCGUCCCUCUGUCCUCCCGUGACAGAGACCCGGCACAACACUGACCGUGUGAGCGUGCAUCCCAUAAUGCCACAGCACCCGUCUGCAUGGGAAGCAGCUCCGGGGAUCAAUUCAAUGCUUAGAGCACGAGCAUCUCCUCCCAGCUCCGAUAACAGGCAAAGAUGCAUGAGUUUAUUAUUGGGCCUGAUAAAUUAAACUCUUCACAAGAGGAAUAAAUUAUGCAGAUGAUCCGCAAUGUGUUCAGACUGCUGCUUGUGCAUCAGCCCGGUCCCCAAGGAGUCUGCUGUUGGUAAGGGGACUCAGUGGGAGCACUGCGGGGCUGCUCUGCCCUUCCUGCUCGGUGGCCUCAGUUUGACUCUUUUGCUGUGGAUACCCAAAUUUCGUUCCUUUUCACCCAGCUUCUUCCCCUUGCAUGGCAGCAGGGCCUGCAGCCGUCACAGCAGCUGGUCCCCAGCAGCACAACAGCGAUCCGAAGUGACAGCAGAAGUGAUGCUGUCCCUAAGACAGAGGUGGGAGCUGGGGAGCAUCUGGAGAUUCCUCUCUCAGAGGGGCUGAGGGAAUGCAUCUGCAUGGGGAGACGUCCCCGGG